rnacentral:lncRNA from 1 species
CCGCCCGAAGGCCGGGGCGCCAAGUUCGUCCAGCGGAAGAAGGCCAUAAAAACGGGUGGGAUAUAGCCUUGGGGGGUGGGGCUGGCAAACUUCGUCCGCCCGACUCGGAACGGCUCGAGACUUUGCGAGUGGCCUCCGUGUGCCAAAAAUAGGCCACGGGCACAGCCGCUACAAAAAAUAACUGCCCGAAGGCCGGGGCGCCAAGUUCGUCCUGCGGAAAGAGGCGACAAAAAUGGGUGGGCUAAAGCCUUUGGGGGUGGGGCUGGCCAACUUCGUCCGCCGGACUCGGAAUGGCGCGAGACUUUGCGAGGGGCCUCCGUGUGCCAAAAAUAGGCCGCGGGGACAGCCGUACCCAAAAAUAACAGCCCGAAGGCCGUGGCGCCAAGUUCGUCCAGCGGAAAGAGGCCACAAAAACGGGUGGGCUAUAGCCUUGGGGGGUGGGGCUGGCCAACUUCGUCCGCCGGACUCGGAAUGGCGCGAGACUUUGCGAGCGGCCUCC